rnacentral:misc_RNA from 1 species
ACAAGCUUGAACUUGAUGUUCCUCAACUUCAGAUAUUAACGGUACCAGUUAUGCACUUCUCUUUUCACUGUUCUUACUCCGGAAAGGUGAUAGGAGGGAAAAUGCACGAGAAGACUUCUGAGUUUUGCUGGCAGUGGAGGUUUCAUCUUGAGAUAUCAGAUUUUUCAGUGUAGGAACUUCAUUGUUAGAAGUGGUAUUUGUCCCAGCAUCAUUGGCUUCAGAACCAUUUGUGCUGAUAUUAUCUGAUUCAUCAUUAUGCUCAUCUGUAGCCGGGCUUUGAUUCUUUCUUCCAAACUUCAGUAAUA